UUUAGCCAAAUCAUGUGAUGUUUCUGAUAAGCCGAAUAGGAUAUGGUUUGCUUGCUUGCAAUACAGUUGCAGCUAACUACUGUUUCUGCUUUGCUGGAGGAGGCUAACAGUUCCCAGAGAUGGCUGAAGAUAUCAAUGAGCCAGGGGAUACUCUUAUUUAUGGUUUAACAGGCUUGAAUACAAUGGGAAGAAAAUGGCAAGAAAGAAGCAGCGGCGAUGAGUCAGCCUCAAAAAUGAUACUCUGCAGCGAAUCACAGCCAGCCACCAGAGAGAAGCAAAUGUAACCACAGGACAUGUGACAGAGUUGAUGGAUACCCUAUGUUCAUCAAUGGACAGAAAGUUCCACAGAAUGGAAUAUAAUCACGUGCUAUCAGAAACCGCUGCACUUGAUGUCACGUCCUGACCCUAGUAAGAUGUCAUUUUCUAUAGUAGAGUAGGGCAGGGCACAACAGGGGGUGUUUUGGGUUGUUCUAUGUUUUCUAUUUCUGUUUUUAAGUUCUAGUUUUUCUAUUUCUAUGUUGGGAUUGUUUGGGGUUGAUCUCUAAUUGGAGGCAGCUGAUCCUCAUUGCCUCUGAUUAGAGAUCAUAGGGGUUUUUAUCUUCCUGUUUGUGGGUUAUUAUCUUUUGAGUAGUGUGUUUUCCUCUCUGCGUCAUGGGUUGUUGUUUUCAAGUAAUUUAAGUGUUUUGUAUUUCAGUUUCACGUUUAAUAAAUAUGUGAAACAACGAACACGCUGCAUUUUGGUCCGCUCCUUCGAACAGCCGUGACACUUGACCACAGGUUUAAGAAGUUAGCCUUCAGUGAUGCCAGAGCGAUUGAUGCUCUUCAAAGAAUAAUCUCAGCAGCAGGGAGGGACAGCCUCAGCAGUCAGCUGGCUCAGGCACCAGGGCAACAGGAAGAAGAGGGAUCAGAUGGAGCAGAAGCACCAGCAGUAGUGCCACAAACGUCUGCUGUUUGACGAGAGAGCAACUGGGGAUGCAGCACGAAGGAAUCCCUCAGCAGAUGCCAUUAUGGAGGUCCGAUCCUAUUUGGAGGAGCCCCUCCCUUCUAAGCUGGUGGAAGAACAAGGUCUCUGUCUACCCACGGCUCACUAAAGUCAUGACAGGGAGACUCUACAUAGUGGCCACAUCCAUUCCCUCUGAGAGGGUCUUCUUGAAACCGGGACAAAUAAUUACUGAGAGAAGAAACCGCAUCAGCCCCUCGAAAGUGAGGCAGCUUGCAUUUCUUAAUGCAAAUCUCUCAUAAAAGCAAAAUAUGGUCAGCAUUGCUGUGUGCUGCUGCUCAUAACAUGGCAAUAAAGAAGAGAGAGAAAAAAAGGGACCAGUUUAAUGUUUUAAGUGGGAUGCUGCAGUUUUGCACAUUGUUAUUUAUUUUUAUUUGAUAUGGUGCAAUAUUCUAUUAUGCUGUUCAGAUUGUAUUAGUUUUGAAUGGUUAGA
rnacentral:lncRNA from 1 species